AAUGAACGCUGGCGGCAUGCUUUACACAUGCAAGUCGAACGGCAGCGCGGGGGCAACCCUGGCGGCGAGUGGCGAACGGGUGAGUAAUACAUCGGAACGUACCCAGAAGUGGGGGAUAACGUAGCGAAAGUUACGCUAAUACCGCAUACGUUCUACGGAAGAAAGUGGGGGACCUUCGGGCCUCAUGCUUUUGGAGCGGCCGAUGUCUGAUUAGCUAGUUGGUGAGGUAAAGGCUCACCAAGGCGACGAUCAGUAGCUGGUCUGAGAGGACGACCAGCCACACUGGAACUGAGGCACGGUCCAGACUCCUACGGGAGGCAGCAGUGGGGAAUUUUGGACAAUGGGGGCAACCCUGAUCCAGCAAUGCCGCGUGAGUGAAGAAGGCCUCGGUUGUAAGCUCUUUGUCAGGGAAGAAACGAUGCCUUCUAAUACAGGGCGUUAAUGACGGUACCCGAAGAAUAAGCACCGGCUAACUACGUGCCAGCAGC
rnacentral:rRNA from 1 species